GACGAACGCUGGCGGCGUGCCUAAUACAUGCAAGUCGAACGAGAGCGACCGGUGCUUGCACUGGUCAAUCUAGUGGCGAACGGGUGAGUAACACGUGGGUAACCUGCCCAUCAGAGGGGGAUAACAUCCGGAAACGGAUGCUAAAACCGCAUAGGUCUUCGAACCGCAUGGUUUGAAGAGGAAAAGAGGCGCACGCUUCUGCUGAUGGAUGGACCCGCGGUGCAUUAGCUAGUUGGUGAGGUAACGGCUCACCAAGGCCGUGAUGCAUAGCCGACCUGAGAGGGUGAUCGGCCACAUUGGGACUGAGACACGGCCCAAACUCCUACGGGAGGCAGCAGUAGGGAAUCUUCCGCAAUGGACGCAAGUCUGACGGAGCAACGCCGCGUGAGUGAAGAAGGUUUUCGGAUCGUAAAACUCUGUUGUUAGAGAAGAACAAGUGCUAGAGUAACUGUUAGCGCCUUGACGGUAGCUAACCAGAAAGCCACGGCUAACUACGUG
rnacentral:rRNA from 1 species